rnacentral:rRNA from 1 species
GAGACCUAAGGUCAGGCGGGGUUACCCGCUGAGUUUAAGCAUAUCAAUAAGCGGAGGAAAAG